rnacentral:lncRNA from 1 species
AAACUUUUACUUUGGUUCAGUUAUAGGGAGCAAUUUAUAUUGCUCGUCCUCGAGGUGUUUUGCGAGAUAGAAGCUGAUCAGGAAUCUAACUCGCGGGCCAGCGGUGGCCUAAGGACGUGGUUUAUAGGUGUUGUUUUUGAUGUGGUCGAUGAGAUUUUGGGUCGUUUGAGACCGUGUGGUAAAACUCGCUAAGAGUUUGAGCUUGUGCAAGAAGAGUAUAUAAAUCUUUUUUAUGGUUGUAUAAGUUUAUUUAUGAAGUUGUGAUGCGAAAUAACGAAUCAAUAUGAAUUUGAUAACUUAAAAUAUUGCAGUAGUAAUGCAAGAACCUAUAUUAUCUGAUGCAAUACUGAUAUGCGUAAAUAGAUUAUAAAGAAUUGUUUACCGACAUGGACGUGUUCCGGUCUUGGUGACUGCAAGCUAGCGAAGAAGAAAUGGUGUUGGAUGUUUGAUAAUAUGUUCUUCGUGUAUUGUCUCUUGUGGUUUUGCAUUUGUUUGGGAACAUCGUUAGACAACAUGCGAUCUUACAAUAUUUCUGCAUGGCUUGUCAAGAUUUAUCGUUUUUAUUCACAUGAAAUGAUUUGCGGUCCAAACCUUUCGUGAUGUUAUGGGUUUUAUGUUGUUCGUGAUCUUUCCAUGUUUUGAUCGUUUGAGGUCGGGAUACUUUUGCACUGGAUGACUCUUUUUCAUAAUGAAGUGGAUGGAUUGUCGCUUAAGGAGUAUGGAAAACAAGGUUUAUGCUUUCUUUGCGCCUCUUUGGUAUUUUCCUUUCGUCUGCUCGAUAUCGGGCUCGGUUAGCAAAAUCGUUGGGAACAUCCUAUUCAGCUCGUGUUCCUAGGAGUCUCGUUAUCUGGAGCUCGAAGGCUCGAAGGGUUUUCGCGCGGUGUUUAAUUGGUUAAAUUGAUGGGAGCGCGAGUUAGUAGGAUUCCGUGUUUAAGUUCUCGGUCCAAGCUUCGUCCAGACCCCUUAAAUUCAGGAUGUGGUGGUUUGAUCCAGAUCGAGGUGAGAUGUCUCUUCUGUUGAGGAAUAUACAUCGUGAGGUGGAAAUUUC